GGAUGUGAGGGCGAUCUGGCUGCAACAUCUGUCACCCCAUUGAUCGCCAGGGUUGAUUCAGCUGAUCUGGCUGGCUAGGCACUGCUCCAUGUGCAUCCCUCCCGAACCUGCGUGCUGGGUCGAAGAGGACGAACUUCCUCGACAGAGGAGGACCAUUCUUUGGUCAAGGGUAUACGAGUAGAUGCACUCCCUGCUAGAACCUCCAAACAAGCUAUCAAAUACACAACCUAAACUUUUGCCUAAAGGAUCUGGAAAAAGAACAGCAAGUAAAGCCUAAAACCAACAAAAGAAGGAAAAUUAUU
rnacentral:snRNA from 1 species